UCAUACGGAGGAUCCAAGCGUUAUCCGGAAUUACUGGGCGUAAAGAGUUGCGUAGGUGGCAUAGUAAGUAGGUAGUGAAAGCGUGUGGCUCAACCAUACUCACAUUAUCUAAACUGCUAAGCUAGAAUAUAGAAGAGGUAGCUGGAAUUCCAAGUGUAGGAGUGAAAUCCGUAGAUAUUUGGAGGAACACCAAUGGCGUAGGCAGGCUACUGGUCUAUUAUUGACACUAAGGCACGAAAGCGUGGGGAGCAAACGGG
rnacentral:rRNA from 1 species